rnacentral:rRNA from 1 species
AUUGAACGCUGGCGGCCUGCCUAAUACAUGCAAGUCGAGCGAGCGGCGGACUGGUGAGCAAUGUAUGGGGAUCUGCCCGAUAGAGGGGGAUAACUACUGUAAACCGUGGCUAAUACCGCAUACUACCGUUUGGACCCUUAUGGGAUUAGCUAGUAGGUGGGGUAAAGGCUCACCUAGGCGACGAUCCCUAGCUGGUCUGAGAGGAUGAUCAGCCACACUGGUACUGAGACACGGCCCAGACUCCUACGGGAGGAAGCAGUGGGGAAGAUUGCACAAUGGGCGAAAGCCUGAUGCAGCCAUGCCGCGUGUAUGAAGAAGGCCUUCGGGUUGUAAAGUACUUUCAGCGGGGAGGCGUUACCCGCAGAAGAAGCACCGGCUAACUACGUGCCAGCAGCCGCGGUAAUUC